rnacentral:rRNA from 1 species
AUUGAACGCUGGCGGCAGGCCUAACACAUGCAAGUCGGACGGUAGCACAGAGAGCUUGCUCUCGGGUGACGAGUGGCGGACGGGUGAGUAAUGUCUGGGAAACUGCCCGAUGGAGGGGGAUAACUACUGGAAACGGUAGCUAAUACCGCAUAACGUCUUCGGACCAAAGUGGGGGACCUUCGGGCCUCACACCAUCGGAUGUGCCCAGAUGGGAUUAGCUAGUAGGUGGGGUAAUAGCUCACCUAGGCGACGAUCCCUAGCUGGUCUGAGAGGAUGACCAGCCACACUGGAACUGAGACACGGUCCAGACUCCUACGGGAGGCAGCAGUGGGGAAUAUUGCACAAUGGGCGCAAGCCUGAUGCAGCCAUGCCGCGUGUAUGAAGAAGGCCUUCGGGUUGUAAAGUACUUUCAGCGGGGAGGAAGGCGAUGUGGUUAAUAACCGCAUCGAUUGACGUUACCCGCAGAAGAAGCACCGGCUAACUCCGUGCCAGCCGCCGCAGUAA